UAUUAUCUUUGAAAUUAACAGAUGCUUGUUCCUUGUUGCUUUUUACGUCGCUUAGUGAUUUUAUUUGUGCUGGUUUACAUGUUUAAAGGCACAGGUCAGAUCCUGCUUGUGGCUGUUCAGACUUGGCAAUCAGAAAGCAAGCGGGCUUGUGAGAAUUCAUUUAAACUUGGAACAUUUAGAUCCUGAGAUUAAGCAGAGUUCUGUAAUGAAGCCACAUGCUUUUCUUUCUUUUAAAGAGCUAAACUACUCUAUCAGAGUUAAAUUUUGGAUUCUUUGAUCAUUUUCCAAUGCCUCAGACACAAAAUUUGAAUCUAUUAAUAUGUCAACAAAGAAAGUAUUAGGCCCUAGAAGUAUACUUGUCUCCUUGUAUUUAUGGUUAUGUUUAUAUAGCCAGAAUUUGCAAAACAAAAAACAUUUUAUAAACUAUGAUAACUUUAAAUAGAUCAUCAACAAGCUGUAAAGAUCAUUCAGAAGCAAUUGGUCAUUUCUGUGUGCAUAAAAGGUAGGAGGGAGAGCAUUGCCAUUUUCAAUCUUUUUAGCCAAUCAAAAGCUAUGAUUUCUAGGAGGAGAUACUAUCACUCAGGAAUAUAAGCAUUUUAAAAACUUAAAAUGUCUGAUUUAAAAUCUCAUUUAAAAUCAUCCAUUCAUUUUUACGGCAUGAGGUUUAUAUCAUUUUAUUCCUUUGGUCUCUGAAAAAGAUAUUUCUAUAAAUGAUUUUUAUGAAUUUUACCAAAUUGUGAGAAGAAAUAACAAUAUCUGAUCCAUUUAAAUCCAGUGGUUCAUUUAGAAAGAAGUGUGGCGGUGUUAUACAAAUGUGAGGGAGAAAUGUAUAGCCAUAUACCAAAGACCCAGCAGUCAGAAAUUGCUCGUGCAUUGUGGCUGUAGCUAUAACUACAAAACUGUGCAGGGGAUAUCACCAGUGUCCUGUAUUUUUUCAUCCUAAGAUGACCCACUUAAUAAAACACUUCCAGGAAAUGCAAGAUAAGUUUAGCAGACAGAAAAUCCUCUAAUGACAGGUUUCCCAAAAAGGCAAUGCAUAAUUUGGAAAAUAAAAAUUACUGCUGCUGUUUGAGGGGAAACUGCUUGUAUGCCCUGCUUUAAUAGUUUUCCAAGGGCCAGGAAUUCAAACAGACUCUGUUCCCUAAGGGAGGUGGGCAGGUGCAGUUUAUCUCUUACUUAGGAAAGGUGUCAUCAUUAAAAGAAAAAGCUCUUGGUUUCCAAGUCUCAGCCUGUGCUUGCUUUUGAAGUAGAAAGCUAGAGAACCAAGCGGUAGGGCUCUGAGCUUUUGUUUACCAAUUUUGCAAUCUUCACGGGCUUCUUCAGGCCUCAUUUAUUAUGGGAGGAAGAGAGGUGACACAAAGGAUGGGACCAAAACUGUGCAAUGUGAAUCGAGUGAUUUUUUUUUUCCUUUUCUCAGUAUUGAAAUUGCCACAGCCACUGCAACUUUCAGCAACCACUACCCUGAUCAGUCAAUAGCUAUUAACAUCAAGGCAAGAUUCCCUACCAGCCAAAAUAUAAUGACUCAUUGAUGGCUCAGAUGAUCAUUAGCAUUCUUUAGCAAUAAACUAUUUUUUAACUAA